rnacentral:sRNA from 1 species
AUUUCAAGCAACUUUGUUCUUUCCCUUUGAUUAUUUGCGAGCUAAGAGAGGAGUGAAUUUGUCUAAAUCCCUUAGUACAAAUUCAUUGUUUGAUUACAGAAUCAACAGUAGAGACGGGCUC